rnacentral:rRNA from 1 species
UACGUAGGGGGCAAGCGUUGUCCGGAAUCAUUGGGCGUAAAGAGCGUGUAGGCGGCUUGGUAAGUCCGCUGUGAAAGUCCAGGGCUCAACCCUGGAAUGCCAGUGGAAACUGUCGAGCUAGAGUCCGGAAGAGGCGAGUGGAAUUCCUGGUGUAGCGGUGAAAUGCGCAGAUAUCAGGAGGAACACCAAUGGCGAAGGCAGCUCGCUGGGACGGUACUGACGCUGAGACGCGAAAGCGUGGGGAGCAAACAGG